CCUCCGCUGGGACCCAGGCGUGCGACCGGCUCUGCCUCCUCCGCAGUUCUGCCUCAGGACCUUUGCAUUUGCCAUCUCCUGUGUCAGCUUCAGUUCCCGAUACCGAAAUGGAUCUCCAUCACCUUCAUAUUGAAGCUCAACUGUAACAUCAGCAAGGCUUCCUGCAAUCCCCUACUUUACUAGUUCAGCACCUCCCACCACCACACCCCCUGGAAAAAUUUCCCCUCACUUCCUUAAUUUCUUCCAUAGCACAACUCAUCAGCAUCUGAAAUUCUACACGUAUUUAUGGUUUGUCCCCUCCGAGUAGAAUGUGAGCUCAUUGAGGUCAGGGAAUUCUGUUUUCUUCAUUAUGAUAUCCUCAGCACCUAGCAUAUAUUUGAGGUUCACAUACUGACCAAACGAAUAAAGGAAUAUGUUAAUUUUUAAAA
rnacentral:antisense_RNA from 1 species